UACGGAGGGUGCGAGCGUUGUCCGGAAUCACUGGGCGUAAAGGGCGCGUAGGCGGCAGGCCAAGCGUGCGGUGAAAGUCCGGGGCUCAACCCCGGAUCUGCCGUGCGGACUGAUUUGCUAGAGCACUGUAGAGGCGAGUGGAAUUCCGGGUGUAGCGGUGGAAUGCGUAGAGAUCCGGAAGAACACCGGUGGCGAAGGCGGCCCGCUGGGCAGAGACUGACGCUGAGGCGCGACAGCGUGGGGAGCAAACAGG
rnacentral:rRNA from 1 species